UUUGAGAGUGAUGAGUUGCACGAAUCAGUUGGGGCGCUCGGUGCAGUGGCAACGGCGCCCCAGUCCGAGCAGCGCUGAGGACACCCUGGGUGCACAGGGGCCAUCUGACUCAAC
rnacentral:snoRNA from 13 species